rnacentral:rRNA from 1 species
UUACAUCAGCAGUCAUCUUCGUGACAGCGUGUGGUUGGCACGCACAAACAAAGCAAGGAUACUACAUAUACAUGGACAAAAGAAAGCGAGAGAGAGAGAGAAGCUCCAUUAUGUUGUAGUACUGCUGUGAGAGAUGCAUAAACACACAUAUAUGUAUGAACUGCACAGAGAGAGUAUCGGCAGUGUGCAUGUAUGUUUGCAUGAACAUCACAUAUACCAUACGGUGUAUAGAGUGUAUUAUUGGUGUUGUGCCCAGUUGGACAUCCACCAAAACCUUGUGGCUAAUACACGAAGGCUCGGGUCAGCCACCAUAUACAUAUACAUAUACAUAUAUCCCACCAUGGAUCUACAAAAAGUACUACAUCACACCAAACAUAUGUAUGUGCCCUUUUGAUCUUUCGCCCAUUGCGUCCAAACUUUAAACAGUGAUAUACAUAUAUACAUAUUGGUACGUCCUCCUACGUUCCACACUUGUGUGUGUGUUUGUUCCUACUAUAUGCACCUAUCAUAAUACAAGGGGACACUGUAUACACUGCGAUUAAUAGAGCACACAACACACCGGUGGUGUGCGGAGAGAGGGAAUCACAGUAUAUUGCAUACUGAUACCACGUCGCAUGAUCAUAUCAACAUCGAAAGGGGGGAGGAAACAGCCGAGACAGACAGAGAGAGAGAGAGAGAGGGGGGGGAGAAUGGGACAUAUCGCCAUGUGUACGAUCGGUAUUAUCUGGAGAGCAGAAAGAGAGAGAGAAAAGGGGCACCCAUUAUUAUGUUAUCACGUUGUCAAUCGCCACAACCUCUACUACCGCAACAAUACCCACCACUCCAAUAUAUAUAUAUAUGGUACAACGGCCAAACACGAUAUUAUGGGGGUGAUGCUUUGGAGACAUACAUAUGGGCUCUAUAUACUACAUAUACCACGACGGCAGGCUGAUUUCGAUAUGAGACACCCGUCUGUUUCCUCCUUUGCGCUUUUCUCUGUGUGUGUGUGUGUGUGUUGGGCUCGCCGACGCCCUGCCUUUUGGUUUACUGCCUCUUGUUCUGUGUGGCGUCGGCCGACGCCCAGUGGUGGACUGCGCCCAGCCGUCAAGGAAGACCAGCGCCCCCCAAUUGAAGAAAAACGAACGCAACAACACCACACGAUGGGGGAGAGAGAAUGAGAGAAUGAGAGAAGAGAAGAGAGAGGGCACAACAGCAACAAAAAAAAGAGAGAGGAGAGAGAGAGGGCCCAACAAGCGAGAGAGAGAGAGAUGAUGUUAUAUAUAUAACGGUGUUGUUGGUUUUGUUGGGGCAGCAUGCUUAUUCCGUUAUUGUGAUGUUCUGUGCAACAGAAGAAGAGGGAAGGAGACGAUGAUCCAGGCUGGUCUCCCACCUCCCCCUCACAAAAACAAAAGGGUUCCGAAGAGAGAGAGAGAGAGAGGAGAGGAGAGGAGAGACAGAGCUGCGCUGGCAGACAACAAAAAAAGAACAGGGAUAUUAUAUUGUUUUGGAUAGCAACACACACACGGUUGUAUGCUUAUUUCAAACCACAACAACACAGGAGAACAACACGAUCGUGUCAUAUGUAGGUGUGUAUUUGGCUGCCGUUGUGUACCUCUUCUGUUGCGUUGUGUGCUGAGUCCGUCGGCGGUGGUUGUGUUGUGUUGUGUUUGUCGUGUGUCGUGUUGUGGUGACGAUGUAUCAUAUAUAGGCAUUGCGUCACCAUUUUGUUGUUGUUGUGGUGUUGUCGUUUGCGUGUUUGUGUGUGUUUGUUUCACAGAACGGUGUACAUAUGCCACUGUCUACACAUAUAUUUGCUUGGUCACAUGAACUUCUGACCUAUCAGCUGUGACUGUGGUGUAGUGGACCACAGUGGCUGUAACGGGUGACGGAGAAUCAGGGUUCGAUUCCGGAGAGGGAGCCUGAGAAACGGCUACCACUACCAAGGUGGGCAGCAGGCGCGCAAAUUGCCCAAUACCAACACACUCCUGCGGUGAGGCAGCGACGAACCGCAGCAAUCCUGCCAACCCUUCACGUGUUGACAGGACUUGUAAUGGAUGCGAUCCAAAAACCGUGAUGAGUAUCAACUGGAGGGCAAGUCUGGUGCCAGCAGCUGCGGUAAUUCCAGCUCCAAUGGCGUAUACUAUCAUUGCUGCUGUUAAAACACCUGUAGUCUGCCGCGUUUUGUGUGGGGUUUGUGCUGUGUUUUUGUGUGUGUUAUAUAUAUAUAUAUACCAUACCCCUCUGCUGUUGCACACAUACUAUCUACAUACGCUGUGAUGAUAUAUUUUAUCAUACACAUUCUGCACUGGACGGUGUGUGCGUCGUCGCCAGCCUUCUCUGUCUCUCUCCCCGUGCUGUGCUGUGCUGUGCUGUGCGCUGUGUUUGUGCGCCCUCUCUUUUCUGGGGCGCGCGUUGUAUUUGUGGAUUGUGGUGCACAUGCACGAUAUUAUUAUGAUACGAUACGAUUCUGAUAUGAAUGAUGGCGCACCCGUCGUCGCCCCACACCGAGAUCAUGAUAUUAUUAUGAUGCUCCCCCUACCUAUAUGCUCUAUAAUACUGAUGCUCACUCUUCUGCACAUGAUGCACAAUACACAUCUGAUGUGCUGUUGUGUUGUGGUUUUGUGUUGCAUUGUUUUUGUUUGCGGCGGUGGGGGAAUCGUCUCUCUGCGUCUUAUUUCGAUGGUGAGAAACAAUGAAUGUUUUCCUAUCCACGUUGUGUGUUGUUGUUGUUGUUGUUGUUGUUGUUGUGUUGGUGUGUGUGCCUCUCGACUGUGUGUGUCUACUUCCACACACACCGCUGUAUAUAUAUGUGUGUGUGUUCGUGUGCUACAUAUGGCUGCAUAUCAUACAUAUUGGUAUCGUGAUACACAACCUGGUAUAUGUAUAUACAUUACCAUGGAACACUCCAAAAGAGAAAAAAGCGCUCCCGCCGAAAGCCCCCUUCAGUGGGGGCCGCCUUUUUGGGUGGUAUCGUCGCCCCACAAGCAGGCAUAUUAUUGUUGUUGUGUGUGUGUUGUGUGGAUGAUAAUAAUGAUGGACCAUACUACAAUACUACUGGGUACUUCACCACACCUUCGUUUUACUGUUGCAUAGCACUGUAACCACAAUUGCACGACCAUAUAUGUACGCUGUGAUGCCAGCGCUAUAUAUAUGCAUGCACACAUACAUAUGGAGAGAUAGAUACAUCAUUAUGACAUACUAUUGAUUGGGUGUGCUACUAUGAUAUUGCAAAGGCACACAUGCAACAAUGUGGCAUGGUGCACUGUGUGAUAUGCAACCACACAAAACCACACAAAACCAAACCGGAGCCCACCAUCGCGGACACCGUGGAAAACUCAGUGUGCUUCAAGCAUCCCCCUGUACUAGUAUUCUAUUAUGAAACAACCCAUUCUCCGCUUUUCUUCUGUCGGAUAAUUAUUGGCUGGAUGCUCAUCCAUGGAAUGUCAAGGCAUCGACCAGAUGUGGCCAAAAACGAUAUCGCUAUUUUGUUGCCAUUGCUGUGUUUGCACCGUGUUAUUAUUAUUAUUAUUAUUAUUAUUAUAAAAACGAUACCCUCUCCAAAGAAAGAAAGAAAGAAAACAACAACCAAACACCAUCUCACACCAUUAUAUGAUCGUCGAAACAUUGUAUCCUCAGCCGAAGCGUUGUGGCGUUGUGGCGUUGUUGUGCUGUGUGCUGUUGUUGUUGUGUGUGUAUAUCGUCUUGUUGUUGUUGUUGUUGUUGUGUUGUGGCGCACAUCACAUGGUGCGAUGAUGCAAUCCACAGUAUUUUUGGUGCUGUAUACGAUGUGUGGUGUGGGCAGUGGUGGUGUAUUAUAGAGUGUGGUGCGCCGUGGUGUCGAUCAAGCUACACACAUCGUGUUGGGUUGUUUUUUCUUUCUUGGGUGCUGUUGUGUAGUGCAAUGUAUUAUUAUUGUGCUGGCCUUGGAGCCCAUCGAGGGCAAGGUAUAUCCAUAUGACAUAAUCAUAAGAAGAGAGUCCAAACAAAAGAAGGUACCACCUGUACACACAGGGUACAAAAGAAGAAGGGGGAACAGCCCUCUACACUAUACACAUAUAUAUAUCGAUACGCCACACUGGUACCUUUGUUGUGCACUACAUCAUACCGCUCUCUCUCUCUCUCAUGCUCGUAUGUGUAAUGUAUAUGUGGCGGUGUGCCUCUUUCACUCUGCCAUGCUAUAUGAUAUCAUUAGUGUCCUUCUGCAUGCAUACAAUCACGACGGCAUGUGUUUUGGUGUUUGUAUCGCUCCAUAUGGUAUAUACAUACGCACGCAUGGGAUGCUUACACAUGCGAGAUACCUGUCUUUUGUGGCUGUCUGAUUCGUAUCACCAUAUAUUUACGCUGUGCCUGUGUGUGUGGUUGUCGUGUGUGUGUGUGAACCAAAAUGAAACCAAAUAAAAUAAAAAACGGACCAGAGGGGACCGCUCAGGGUGGAAGGUACUGUGGCGCCAGAGGUGAAAUUCUUAGACCGCUGCAAGACCCACUGCGGCGAAGGCGUUCUGCAUGUGCGUGUUCGUCGAUCAAGGAUGAGAGUCCGGGGAACAAAGAUGAUCAGACACCGUCGUAGUCCGGCCACCGUAAACUGUGCCAGCCUGGUUUCCGCAGGGAAAGUCCGAUGGUGACCCUGUGGGCGCCACGCCCCCUUGACCGAGAAAUCCGCAGCCUGUGGGUUCAGGGGGGAGUACGGUCGCAAGGCUGAAACUUAAAGGAAUUGACGGAAUGGCACCACAAGGCGUGGAGUAUGCGGCUUAAUUUGACUCAACGCGGGGAAUGUUACCAGGUCCGGACGCAGCUGGGAUGGACAGACUGAGAGCUCUUUCUUGAUCCUGUGGACGGUGGUGCAUGGCCGCUCCUGAUUGGUGGAGUGAUUUGUCUGGUUGAUUCCGAUAACGAGUGAGACAUCUCCCUCCCAAUCUAGCCUCGGGCUCGCAUUUGGUAGGGUCUUUGGGCCGUGGGCGUCUUUGUUUCUGUUGUGUGUGGUGCGUGUUUUUUUUUAUUGUCCCGCUCUCCUCUUUCGUGUGGAUGCGUGUGUGGUGUUUCUGUGGGGCGUGCUGUGUGUGUUGUGUGUGUGUGUUGUGUGGGGGAGACAUCGACAUUGUAUUGAUGGAAAGGAUGUACAUAUGGGUUGUGUGCAUUGCACCAUCAUCUCUGAUGGUCUCUCGUUUUCCGCUGGUGUGGUGUUGGGUGUGUCGAUGUGUUGUUUUCCCCUCACUUCGCWCGAAMCACAUUGAWUCAGAGGAGGCUGUAUAUUUAUUAUGCGUGCCCACCGACGAGACGCGACGCCCACCUUCGUGUUUAGCCCACCCGAGAGCCUCUUUUCCUUUCUGGGAUUAUUUCGCUUCUCUGAGGUGCUGUGUACGCUGCCACAAGUGCACGCAUGCUAGAGCCAACAGCAGGUCUGUGAUGCUCCCAGAUGUCCUGGGCCGCACGCGCACUACAUUGGCACGGUGAAGGAGCCAAUAAUGCUAUGUGUGUGAUAUAAUGGUGCCCACCUCGUUUUCUGUGGGCCCUGGCUGGAGGUGGCUGGGAAACCCUGCAAGUCCGUUUUGUAUUUACAACCAACCAUACAUAUGUAUACAUAUACAUGGUAUCAUCGUUGCCUCACCAUUAUUAUUGCCUUGGGGUAUGUGUGUGUCACACAGAGCACCAUGAAAACGACGGUGAACAAAUAAUAAUACUACCGAGGAUAUGCUGUUGUACCAUAAUGUGCUUUCCGUUGUUGGUCGAAGGGAAGAGAGAGAGAGAGAGGGGGUGUGUGUAUUAUGCUGGAGAGUGGAGAGUGCACACAGUAUAUUAUAGCGUGGUUCGUAUACUAUAUACACAUAUACAGCACAGCACAGUAUAUAUGCAUGUGCACGAUGUGGAGGUCUUUUAUAGCUGUGAUGUGAUGAUGAUAUGAUGUGUGAGUUUGUUCCUGUUGAUAUAUUUGAAUACCGAACAAACGACGAUACUGAUAGCGUCGUUGCUAUAUGUAUAUACACACAACACAGCGCUGUGUUUCUUGUUGUUGUUGUUGCUGUGAUAUGACUUUGUGUGCGCGCUCUCCGUGGUUUUGUAAAGGAUCGUAUUUCUUUUCUUUCUGUGAUCAAUGUACACGUGUGCACAGCUGUGCAAUAUGACUAUGCGAGUGUGGUGCAGGGUACCAUGAUAUUGUGGGUAUCAUCGUAAAUCAUUUUGGGAUUGCGUUGCUCUCUUUUUUGGCCGUACUGGGGAUCGGCGAUUGCAACUGUCCGCCGUGAACGUGGAAUGCCUCGUAGGCGUCGGUCAUCAGCCGACACCGAUGCG